GCCGGGCGUGGUGGCACAUGCCUGUAGUCUCAGCUACUUGGGAGGCUGAGGUGGGAGGAUCGCUUGAGCCCAGGAGUUCUGGGCUGUAGUGCACUAUGCCGAUCAGGUGUCCUAAGUUCGGCAUCAGUAUGGUGACCUACUGGUCGGGGAAACCACCAGGUUGCCUAAGGAAGGGUGAAUCGGCCCAGGUCAGAAACAGAGCAGGUCAAAACUCCCAUGCUGAUCAGUAGUGGGAUCACGCCUGUGAAUAGCCACUGCACUCCGGCCUGAGCAACAUAGGGAGACCCUGUCCCUA
rnacentral:SRP_RNA from 1 species